rnacentral:rRNA from 1 species
UACGGAGGGUGCGAGCGUUGUCCGGAAUCAUUGGGCGUAAAGGGCGCGUAGGUGGCCCGCUCAGCGUGCGGUGAAAGCUCGGGGCUCAACCCCGAGUCGGCCGUGCGAACUGGUGGGCUGGAGCACUGUAGAGGCAGGCGGAAUUCCGGGUGUAGCGGUGGAAUGCGUAGAGAUCCGGAAGAACACCGGUGGCGAAGGCGGCCUGCUGGGCAGUGCUGACACUGAGGCGCGACAGCGUGGGGAGCAAACAGGGAUUAGAAACCC